ensembl:lncRNA novel transcript
ACUGACUUCCUUCGCACUCAGCCCACUCGCACCCGGGUGAAUAAACAGCCUUUGUUGCUCACACUUAGCCUGUUCAAGUUGUCUCUUCAAUUAGAUGCUCGCAUAACAUUUGGUGCCGAAAGCCCGGGAUAGGGGAACUCCUCCGGCAGACCUCUCCUCUAUCCUCCCGGUACCCACGUUCUCCCAUGCAAGAGACUUCCCUCGCCCUCAGGACCUCAGACCAGCUCCGCGAGCACUCCGGCCUCUGUCUAUGGAUAUGAUCUCCUCGGCUUGGCGGCUGAAGACUGACGCUGCCCGAACGUCUCGGAGGCCCCUUAGACAAUCGCGGAUGCCGAGCUUCGGGUAACUCUUAGGGUGGAGGGCUAGACAUAAAAUCUGCCAAGCUGCCAAUUUCCUGUUACCUACUCCAGAGACCCAGUGAUAUGAAGACACCCUAGCUGGACUGUCAGUUCUCGUUAAGAACCUAACCCCUCAAACUCUACAACCUCUGUGGACAGGAUCCUACCUGGUCAUCUAUAGUACCCCAACAGUGGUCAGUCUACAGAAUCCUCCCCACUGGAUUCAUCGCUCCAGGAUAAAACUAUGCCCAUCUGACGACCAGCCUAGCUCCUCCACCUCCUCCUGGAAGUCACAAGUACUCUCUCCUACUUCCCUUAAACUUACCCGCAUUCCUGAAAAAGAACAAUAAACCUGUAUACCUUUUAUUUACAGUAGACCUUUACACAGUCACCCCACUAUUUAAACUCUGUCUACUUAUGCCCCUAAUCACCAUUCUCACCUACUUCUAAAUGCCCUGCUUUUGUCUAUACUGCCAGUUCACGCUUUUCCUCCAGACCAUUGUAGCUGAUACCUCAUGGAGUCACCCUCCAGCUGCUACCCUUAACUCUCUCUUAGAGUGGAUAGAUGACCUUCUGUGGCAAAGUACUCUCCAAUUCUUCCAUCCUGAUGAAGUUCUUUUCUUUUAUACUUACUCUUUGUCUUACUCCCGUUCUCCUGCCACCCUCUAUCCCUCCCUAAUUAUCUCCAGAAUACCAUCAACCUCACCCACUCCCUCUUCACCAUCUCCAAUCCUUCCUAUGCAUUUCCCUCUCUUCCUCCUACUAUACAGGUGUCCCUGCCCUGCCAGCCCACUGGGCAACUUCCCCCAUCUCCCUAUACCUCCAAACCUCUUUCAGUGACCCCCAACUUUACCCUCCUGAACAACUUCUUUACUUCCUAGAAAAAUUCAGCAAAAACUCCCCUGAUACCUCAUACCAACAAGCUGCUGCUCUCCUCCAUACCUACCUACGAAAUCUAUCUCCCUACGUCACUUCCACACCUCCUGUUCUUGGACCCCUCACUAUACAAACAACUAUCCCCAUUGCUGCCCCCUUAUGCAUCUCCCUACAAUUACCUGCUGGAAUUCCCUUGGGUUACCUCCCAUCUUCCUUAUGUUCCUUUACUCUUUACCUCCAAGGCCCUGCCACCCACAUUAACCAAAAUAUUGGAGCAUUCCAGCUUCGUAUUACAGAAAAGCCCUCCCUCAUCACUAACACUCUUAAAAACAUCAGUAGCAACUUUUGCCUAGGAAGACAUUUACCCUGGCUCUCACUCCAUCCUUGGCUAUCCUUCCCCUGUUCAAUGGAUUCCCCUCCAAGGCCUUCUGCCUGCCUGUUUAUACCUAGUCUUAUAAAUAACAGUGAAUGGCUACUUACAGAUACCAAAUUCUUUUUUUCACACCAUUAAAACAGAACCUCUCCCUCUACACAGUUAUCCUACCAAACCCCACUACAACCUCUAAUAGCCGCUGCCCUUGCUGGAUCCCUAGGGCUCUGGGUGCAGGACUCUGCUUCCAGAACACACUCUCAUUUUUUUUACUCUCCACUUCCAGUUAUGCCUGCCUCAUGGACUCUUUUUGUUUCUGUUGGUUUUUCCGCAUACAUGUGCCUCCCUGCCAAUUGGACAGGCACCUUCACUUUAAUCUUCCUUACUCCCAAGAUCGAGUUUACAAAUGGAAACAAACAACUCCCCAUUCCCCUCAUAACUCCAACAUGACAAAAAAAAAAAAAAAAAAAAA